GCGGAGCGCCCGUCUGCGCGCAAUCGCCCCAAGCUAGGGGCUCCCCAAAACGCAGGAGACUGACUUCAGAAACCCUCACUGGCCCCGUUCACCAUGCCGGUUGCUGCCACGAACUCUGAGUCUGCUAUGCAGCAAGUCUUGGACAACCUGGGAUCCCUGCCCAAUGCCACUGGGGCUGCGGAACUGGACCUGAUCUUCCUUCGAGGGAUAAUGGAAAGUCCGAUAGUCAGAUCCCUGGCCAAGGCCCACGAGCGGCUGGAGGAGACCAAGCUGGAGGCCGUUCGGGAUAACAACCUGGAGCUGGUGCAGGAGAUCCUUCGGGACCUGGCAGAGCUGGCAGAGCAGAGUAGCACGGCUGCGGAGCUGGCACGCAUCCUCCAAGAGCCUCACUUCCA
rnacentral:lncRNA from 1 species